GGAAGUAAAAGCCGUAACAAGGUUUCCGUAGGUGAACCUGCGGAAGGAUCAUUAUUGUAUAACCGAGGUGCGAGGGCUGUCGCUGACCCGAAAGGUCGUGCACGCCCGAGUGCCCUCACACACAUCCAUCUCACCCCUAUGUGCACCACCGCGUGGGUCCCCCUUUGGCUUGUUCGGAGGGGGGCUUACGUUUUCACACAAACUUUGUAUGCAGUGUAGAAUGUAUUUUUUGUUUUUGCGAUCACGCAAUCAAUACAACUUUCGACAACGGAUCUCUUGGCUCUC
rnacentral:misc_RNA from 1 species